rnacentral:rRNA from 1 species
GGAGGAAAGCAGGGGAUCGUAAGACCUUGCGUUAAUGGAGCGGCCGAUAUCUGAUUAGCUUGUUGGUGAGGUAAAGGCUCACCAAGGCGACGAUCAGUAGCUGGCUUGAGAGAACGACCAGCCACACUGGAACUGAGACACGGUCCAGACUCCUACGGGAGGCAGCAGUGGGGAAUUUUGGACAAUGGGGGCAACCCUGAUCCAGCCAUUCCGCGUGAGUGAAGAAGGCCUUCGGGUUGUAAAGCUCUUUCGCAAGGGAAGAAAACUUAUGAUCGAAUAAAUCAUGAGGUUGACGGUACCUUGAUAAGAAGCACCGGCUAACUACGUGCCAGCAGCCGCGGUAAUACGUAGGGUGCGAGCGUUAAUCGGAAUUACUGGGCGUAAAGCGUGCGCAGGCGGUUUUGUAAGUCGGAUGUGAAAUCCCCGGGCUCAACCUGGGAACUGCGUUUGAAACUACAAAGCUAG